UCAACCUACAAAUUUCAAUAAUACUAUUAUAGCACAGUUUAGAAUUAAGUAUAAUUAUUUUUAGGGCUUUAUUUAUACAUUUGGGAAUUUUAUGGCUUCUCAUGGGUAGUAUGUCAAAAGGGUAACAAGUGCUGAAGGUUUGAGGUUAAUUUUGUGUUCAUAUUCGACGGCGAGUGGAUCGUUCGAUGGUCGUAGGAUUGCUGAAAGCAAUCGUGGUUAUUCUUCAUAGUUAUUUUCAGGAAACUGAGUAGCAGAUUGUUGUCAGGUUCAGAUCAUUCGGCUCAUUUCGUUUAUAGGCCUCAUUUGGCAGGUGGUCAUAUUUGUGUCUUUGUUUUUCUGCAGCUAUAGGGGAGUCUUGGGGGAUAUCAGUUUGAGUUGUUAUUUAUUAUUUUAAUUUAAGAAUUAGCACUUUAGUGCUGGAUUUGGAAUUUAUGUAUUCUUGGAAUUCCAGUUAUGAUAAAUCUCAAUUGAUAGGUUUUAUUAUUUUGGGGAUAUCGAUAUUACGGGAAGGAUUCUUUUGUAUUUUUUUUUAUAAAUUCUGGUAAACAUGUAUAACUUUGGGAAAUCAUUUUGGAAAGUAGGUUUUGGUUAAAUAGGCUUGCCAGGCUAAGGUGAUAGUCUGUGCGCCGGUCACGGCUUAGAAUUUUGGGUCGUGACAAGGGUAGCACCACCAUCGUUGUAACACCCCACUUUUCGUUAUUAGGUUAUUUAUUAUUUUAUCUUAA